rnacentral:sRNA from 1 species
AGGAACCACUCGUACGCGGCGGUUCCUGUGCGCCAUGCACACCCGUCCGGCGGCCGCUCGCUACUUUUAGCC